rnacentral:rRNA from 1 species
CAUUAUUGAAUAUACUUGAUGGGUUGUAGCUGGCUCUACGGAGCAUGUGCACGCUUGUCUUGAUUCUAUUCAUCCACCUGUGCACCUUUUGUAGUCUUGGGGACUCUGAGCAAGUUGACUAUCGGAUUUGGUUCCGGAUGUGAGGAAUGCUGGCCUACAGCUUUUCUCUAUUGGCUUUCUCCCUCGAGUGCUAUGUCUUCAUAUACCACAUAGUAUGUUGUAGAAUGUGAUCAAUGGGUCUAUGUACCUAUAAUAAUCAUAAUACAACUUUCAGCAACGGAUCUCUUGGCUCUCGCAUCGAUGAAGAACGCAGCGAAAUGCGAUAAGUAAUGUGAAUUGCAGAAUUCAGUGAAUCAUCGAAUCUUUGAACGCACCUUGCGCUCCUUGGUAUUCCGAGGAGCAUGCCUGUUUGAGUGUCAUUAAAUUCUCAACCCCCUCCAGUUGUAAUAACUUGGAUUGGGGCUUGGAUGUGGGAGUUUGCGGGUCCUUUAUGAAUAAGGUCAGCUCUCCUGAAAUACAUUAGCGGAACCGUUUGCAGUCCCGGUCACUAGUGUGAUAAAUUAUCUACACUGUGAAUAGAUUGCUCUCUGACUAGUUCAGCUGCUAAUUGGUCCGGUAUGGACAAUGGGAUUUAAUUGAACUUGUUGACCUCAAAUCAGGUAGGACUACCCGCUGAACUU